CCAAAAAGCUCUCAACUCAAAGAGUCUCCGUUAGGUAUAGACGAAGAAACAGAACAACAAUACGCACUUCACUCUAACCUACUUCAACAAUUCACCGCUAUCUCUUCUAUCGACAAGGCAUGGAUUUUCAAAUCAGACUCAGUGGGCUCCGUUUCCGGUUGAGGUGUCUGGAGUUUCCGCUAUGGUUCCGUCACCUUCUAGUUCGAAGCUUUGGAUAAAUCGAAAUCCUGAGAGUGAUGGUCCUUCUCGGUUUGAAUUUUGGAGCAACAGUUAUCUUGAAAGGGAGUUUCAUGUACCUCAAUCCAAACAUGGUUCUGUGUACACUGAUGGAUGGUAAACUUACUAUCAUCACUACUUCACUUGUCAUUGUUUUCUUUUGUCAUUUGAUUUAUGAUUUGAAUGAUUUAUUUGCAGCUUAGAAUAUAAGCCUUAUGCAUAAACUAUUUCUAUAAAUAAAAUGUCAACUAAAGUUAAAUGGUUUUCGUAUAAGCUACAAGCUAUUUUCGUAAGCCAUCUUGGAGAGCUUAUGAAUGUCAACUGAAAAUAGCUCAUUAGUAUAUCAUAAGUUGUGUAUUCAUAAGUUCUUCCAAACAGUCUCACAAGUAUGAGUUAUAAAAGUAGAUAACUGAAAUAAGUCAAUUCAAAUAGGUCGAUAACUGGAAACUUAUAGUUUUGAUAUGUCACUUGUUUUUACUUGUUUGCGACCUCUGCGGGAGGUAAUACUAAAAACCGUUCAUGCCAUAACAGGACUUGUUCAAUAUAUGUUGUUAAAGUUCCACACGAAUCAAAAACCAAUGAAAAUGAGAUCCACUCAAGUGAAAAUGCUCAGGAGCUUAACCUUACUCAAACCAUAAGUAGUGCUUUCCUUCCACGGUUCAGGUAAGUUGAUACUCACAUUCCUAAAUGCUAAAUAUGUUCUCAGCUUUCAUCGCAUGAUCUAGUUCAACAAGUAAUUACUAAUAAGUGUGAGAAUAUGAUUUCUACAAAUUUGAUUCUAGUUCAAAUCCUUAUAGGUAUCCCAAAAUUCAACCUUAUAGGUAUCCUUCUUAUUGUCACAACUCAAUUAUUUGCGUAUGGGUUGGUUGGUGCAUUGGAUUAAGGAAUAGCCUGUUCUGUUUCAGAAUACAUGGCACAACUAUAUGAUUAUCUCAAGAGUAGGAUGAACACCAUAGCACCCAAUUUGACUGCUAUGGUUGGGGAGCUUGUCGGCGCUCGUCUCAUUGCCCAUGGUGGUAGCAUAAUAAAUCUUGCAAAGCAGCCUGGUAGUACUGUGCAGAAUUGAAUGGAUUCUUCAACUGAUUUAGAAUUUCUAGCAACAUUCUCGCCUUCUCGUUGAGCCUGACCUCACUAUUCAGGCGAGGUUGCAAAUGGUGAUGGAGGUUAGGGAUAAUCUUGAAAUUGCUCAUAAUGCUUUGCUGAGUAUUUUAAAUUGCUCAUCCUGCGAAUUCUGGUUCUCCAUAGGAUUCAUUUUCUUCAGCACUCCCACAUCCUUUAUAUCUUUCUUUUGAAAGUGAACACACGGAGGAACGCUUCGAUAUGCCGCUCAGUUUGGAUAUGCCAAUCACAACCAAAACGCACAACACGUUCUGUGAGCCUUGAGUAUAGGACAUCCAUAUUUUGCACUAAGGUUCUAUCAUGAAGCUUAUCAGCAUGUUGGGUUUUGGAGAAAUAAUGGAGAAGAAGAAGAAGAAGAAGCAAUUACAGCUAAAACUGGAAGUACUCAAUGCUGAGGUUAGUUAAGCUCUUAUUAACUAAGCACUUAUUAUAUAAUUCUAGGUUAGUUUCUAUUACUAAAGUAUGAGUUGUUGUGAAUUUUAAUGCGGUAAUUGGACGUCAGGGAACUAAGUUUUUAACAUAGUUUAGCUUUUGUAGAUAAUGAUGAAGAUAAAUAUUUAAUCCAACACUUGAUCUGAUUUUUGUGAUGCUAAAUAUAUUAUGUUUCUUUUUUUUGGUAAUAAAUAUAUUAUGUUUCUGAAUCUACACUAGUGAAACUUUUGUCCAAUAAUUGUGAUGCUAAAUAUAUUUAUAUGUUUCUAUAAUUAUUAUUUCACAUUCUAAUCCAAUUUAUAAAAUACAUCAUGGGAUGAGCUUGGAAUAAAUCUUAGGACACCUUCCUACACAACAUAUGUUGUGGAUGAGAUGAAUUAUCCUUACUGAUGAUGCACCUAUUUUAAUUGAGUUUCUCAUUUAAAUGUCAUUUUCAUUUGAUUUCUUUGUAAUUUUUUCUAGAUACUGGCCUUCAUAGCUAAGGAAAUUGUUCCUUUGCAGGAACUAAGUGGAAGUAAAUUGCAAAGUGAUUCAAAUGCUAUACCACUAGUUUAUCAUGAGGUACACCUCUUUCUUUAUCAUGUGCAACUAAGUUGAUGAUAACUGCAGUUUCUACUUUCAUAUAGAUUGUGAUUAGUAACUAUUUGUUUCUUAAGUAUUCUCCAACAGGUUGUAGUAGUGAUGCACGAUGUUUCUAGCUGCUAUCCAUUUAUUUUGUGUGUGCUGAUUUGAUUUGAGUUAAGAGUGAACUAAAUGGAUGCUCAUGCAAUUCUGUUAACAUUUUUUGGAUAGCUUGCAAACCUUUGUAUCAACAAUAUUCUUUGCUUUUGAUUCAAAGAGGUGGGCAAUUUCAUUCCACAAUGACUUGAAUCAUUUUGUAAAUACUCUAGCAGUUUGUGAUAAAUGAGUAGGACUCGUGCUGAUUGCAAUUUUGUGAAUCCGUGUAGUUGGGAGGGAGUCACAUGUGAUCAUGUGACAAAGUCCAUCAACCAAGUAAAUCUCACCAAUUUUGGACUAAAAGGUACGCUUCAGAGUCUCAAUUUCCCGGUUCUGUUACGGUUUCGAUAAAUAACCACAUGAGCCAUGAGGUGCUGAAUCAGUUAGAUUAUUUAUUGUUCCACUCUUUUGUUUCAACUAGUUUAAUAGGUAUGUGACUUUGAGGAUUUUUUGUGAUUUGUUUUUAUUUAUUUUCCUUUGAAAAAUUGAUAUAGAUGUAAAAGAGAGAAAAAAAUGUACAGAGGAAAUUAAAGUAGGCUCAAACUUCAAAGAUACCAGAAGCAUAUGAACUGCAAAAUUAGGGUAUGUUCUUGAUGUAUUUGUUAAAAUGUAGAUUAAGUUUGAGAUGAAGUAUAAAAUUGACUUUUCUCCAACACUUUCUUUUUUGCACUCAUUUUUUUAUUUAGUGAAAUUCAUGUAGGUAUACUGAAAAUUUAUUCAAGUAGGGAUUCCCUACUAAGAUUCCAAAUGCUAGAGUUGAAAAGUAGUAAAAAAGUUACUGUUUUAAUAUUUAAUUUAUAAUGAUUCAAAAGUUAAUUAAAAUAAAAAAUAAAUUUUAUAGAAACUACCUGCAGAUAUUUCCUGUGGAUUUAGCUGCGGAAUUACCUGCGGAACUUCCUGCCGAAAAUAUUACCCACGAAGGUUUUAGCUGGGGCCAAGAGAUCGCAGGAAAAUCCGCAGGUAACAUGUUUCCUGCGGAAAUUUAACAAAAAUCCGCAGGAAAUUCGAGUAUUUCUUGUAGUGAUUGCUAAGAAUCAGGUUCUGAAAAUGCUACUUAUGUUGUUUUUGUUUUUGUCAGAUAAUUCACAAUUCUAUAUGAUAUUCUUGCAUAUAAUAAACUAGUCUUUUCCUUUUUAAUUAUCUCAGACCUCAUUACAACUUAAAUCUUCUAAGCAUUUCUGUCAAUGGCCAACUUCUUUCAAUUAAUCCAGAUGAAAUUAUUGAUUGGCAUUUCUCCAUUGAGUUCAUUAGGAUUCUCACAUUCCUGUCUUAUUUGUAUGGUUUUUAGUUUAUUAUAUGGAUAUAGAUCAGUUUCGAACCAUUAUCUAUUCGAUACUUGUUUUUUGUUUAAAAUAAAAUCUGGAAAUGCUUUAACGGCAAUUUGUAUUCCUCACGAUGCUUCAACAAUUCUUUUUUUAUGUAUUAGAGCUAUAUUAGAAUAAAAUCAACAGAUAAUUCUUCAUUGAAUAAUCAAGAUGUUCGUGUAUCUGUUUUAUAGCAACUUGGGGUUCUUGAUGCAAUGGAUUUGAGAAGUCAAAUAUAUUUUGUUUUAUAAUAUGGGUAGCUCUUGGCUAGUAUGGUUUCAGAGUCUAAUAUAUUUUGUUUUAUUGUACAUGAGGGGUGAAUAUUUGUAAAGGAGAUUUGUUUCAGAGUCUAGUAUUGUUUUAUUGAUGCAAUGGAGAUUUGUUUCAGAGUUUGAGAAUAAAUAGUUUCUCCUUGUUUAACAUGAGUUGUGGAUCUUUAGAGAUGAAAUUCUUUUCUAAUAUUUUCACUUCUAACACUCUUACUGUUCUUAAGCUUACAAACAUAAUUAUUGUCAAAGACCUUCCUAGAAUAAGUGUUUCUUCUUCUAUCAAAACACUUUAUUUAGAUGAUUUCAUUUUUUGUCGUAGUAGCUAUAUCAUCAACUCUUUCUCCACAUAUAAAUUAAAAGGAUAUCACCAUUCAAAUUUGAAUUGUUUAUAUUGAUUUAUAUUUGGAAAAUUAUACCUCGUACCCCUACUAUUAUCCCUCUACCCCUACAUUUUUUAAAAUAUUCUAAUUCUAUGAAAGAUUUGUUUUCCUUAAUUCCUUAAUUGAACACCAUGAGUUUGUUCAUACUUGCGUAUCGAUGUUGAUUUUGUCUUGGUGUUUAAGUCACUUUUAAAGGUGAUUUUGAUGAUUAUUGGUCGUUGAAAAUUCACUGAUUAUUGCUCGUUGAAAAUUCACUGCUCGUACUGGCUUGUUUAGAAACAGAUGAUUAGUUUAGAAACAAAUGAGAGUCCGUUCUCAUUUGUGAAUUGAUGACCAUAUUUACCAUUGUGUUUACUUGAUUUUAAAUAUGUUUAGCACAAUGUACAUAAUACUGAUUUUUUACAAUGUUGUUAUGAUUCUUAAUGUCAAUGUUGUUAAUCGUUAAGUGAUGAACUUACUAUCUUUGUGAAUUUGCUAUAGCGGUUAAUUGUGAAGAGUGAAAGUUUGAUCGUUUUCAAGAAUCUUACAUUGUGUGGAUCUAGAAGUUUCUUACUUCUAUACAGGUAAUUAAUUGUUCUCUCUCGCCAAAGUAAUUAGUUGUUCUUUGAAUGAACUGCUAUGAUGGAUCAUUUCCACUUUAAUUAGUUGCUUACUUAUCUACUUAUGAAUGAUUUGUAAUUAGUGGUUGAGUCGGUUUUUAUUGUAUGAAAUUUUUAAUAAUAGAAGUUUUCUUUCCUUUGAAUUAGCAGCAUUUCCCGGCCUAGUUCGACGUACAACGCUCAUUCUUUGCGUUUUCUUGAGUUCGGUAAAAUCCGAGGCAAAUUUCUUUCUCAAAUUACUGGUAUUGUGAUGAAUUUGUCUAAAAUUGGGUGAAACACGCCCAAUUAAUAAUAUCAUACACUUAAAGUUUUGGAAAAUGAAGAUGAAACUUCAUCUUCUUCAUUGGACCACGAAGAACAGCAACAUAACACCCAUGGCGCCAAAUUCGAACAUCAGCAAUACUUAAUCAAUUUUAACAAAAUAAAACAUCAUUAUGAUCAGCAUAACACCACGAACACAACCAUAUAAUUAACAGUAAUUUAUUCAUCUUCUAAUGAGAGAAUUUCUGGAAAAACGCAUGAACUCUAGAAAUUGAUUUUUAAAAUUAAACUCUUGAUACUAACAAUCAACAAUCAACACCUGAGGGCUAUUAAUUAACAUGUAAAAACGAGCAUUUUUGUAACAAGAAGCACAUGAAUGGAGCUCCUUUUGAGGGAGCUCGAAGUUGUGUUACAUACCUCUGAAAUUGGAGGUCUGGAGAGUGAUUGAGAGGACCUAGGAAUGCCUCAAGUAUUUAAUUAGUUUCAACAAACCACCAGGAAGCUAUUGCAAUGCUAAAAGAGUCUUGAUCACACCUGCAACUCAGAAUUCGAUUUUAAAUUGAAACUGAAAAAGUUAUGGUUAGUAUGCUAUGAAAAUGGUGUUACAGAUUAAAUGUAGAUGUAUGGAUAGCUUCUAUAUGAUGUGUAGAAGCUAUCUAAACCAUAAAGCCUCAAAAUGCACGAGUGGAAUGGUGAUUUCUGGUUCAAGGCCUUUGGUAGGUCCUUUAAUGGAGUUUUGAAAUGGUGAUUUCUGGUUCAAGGCCUUUGGUAGGUGUUCGGGUAUUAUGGACAGUUUCUAUAUGCGAUAUAGAAGCUAUGUGAAAGGUUAUUUGAGUGGCUAAGUGUUUGGUUUGAGUUUGGGCUUGUAAUGAGCUUAAAGAAAGCUUUAAUGGAGGUUUAAAAGUGAUUUUUGAUAUGGAAGUGUUUGGAAGGCUAAGGAAGGUAUAGACACCUUCUAAAUGAUAUUUAGAAGUUGUCUAAACCAUUAGUUGACACCCAGAACUCCUAGAACAAGAAUUCACUAUAAAAGUGAAAAGAUCAAGAAAUGGAGAAUUUCAAGUGAAGGUGGACUUGGAGAAUUCUUGUGUAAUUGAUCCAAGA